rnacentral:lncRNA from 1 species
UGAAAAACAAGCUCAUCAUGAUGACUUAUGGUGUGGCUGAGCAACUGACGCAAGGCCAAACACUUCAUGGCAUUGAGAUUUCAGCUCGUGGUUAUGCUAAAGUUGGGGUGGACCGAGUGGUCGAGGGUUGGGAUGACCUAGAACUGGAGAUCCCUGGAGGUGAUGGGAAAAAGAAUCUAGAAGAAGCCAUCCAUGGUUGGAUUCUAUAGCCCAAGUGCUACAUAAAGAUUACACUGCCGAAUCCCCCGACCUUGGGAUCAUCUCCUCAAGGCUCAAGGGCAAUAUCACCUACGCCAUCUGCCAAGGCACCCUCUCCACUACCAGAUAGGGAUCCUAGCAUGAGUCCACUACCAGACAGAAAUCCUAGCGUGAGUUCACCUCCCCAUGCUAUGAGCAUGGCUACACGGUGAAAGAUGCC